UAGGGAAUCUUCCACAAUGGACGCAAGUCUGAUGGAGCAACGCCGCGUGAGUGAAGAAGGCUUUCGGGUCGUAAAACUCUGUUAUUGAAGAAGAACGUGUGUGACAGUAGCUGGUCAUGCAGUGACGGUAUUCAAUCAGAAAGUCACGGCUAACUACGUGCCAGCAGCCGCGGUAAUACGUAGGUGGCAAGCGUUGUCCGGAUUUAUUGGGCGUAAAGCGAGUGCAGGCGGUCUUUUU
rnacentral:rRNA from 1 species